rnacentral:rRNA from 1 species
AACGAACGCUGGCGGCAUGCCUAACACAUGCCAGUCGAACGAGACCUUCGGGUCUAGUGGCGCACGGGUGCGUAACGCGUGGGAACCUGCCCUUAGGUUCGGAAUAACUCCCCGAAAGGGGUGCUAAUACCGGAUAAUGUCUUCGGACCAAAGAUUUAUCGCCUUUGGAUGGGCCCGCGUUGGAUUAGCUAGUUGGUAGGGUAAAAGCCUACCAAGGCGACGAUCCAUAGCUGGUCUGAGAGGAUGAUCAGCCACACUGGGACUGAGACACGGCCCAGACUCCUACGGGAGGCAGCAGUGGGGAAUAUUGGACAAUGGGCGAAAGCCUGAUCCAGCAAUGCCGCGUGAGUGAUGAAGGCCUAGGGUUGUAAAGCUCUUUUACCCGGGAUGAUAAUGACAGUACCGGGAGAAUAAGCUCCGGCUAACUCCGUG